AUUCCAGCUCCAAUAGCGUAUAUUAAAGUUGUUGUGGUUAAAAAGCUCGUAGUUGGAUCUCAACAGCCUUGAAGCGGUUAACUUUGUAGUUUUACUGCUUUAUAGGCUGUGCUUUUGCUGGAGGUUUAGGGGUGCUCUUGAUCGAGUGUCUCUGGAUGCCAGCAGGUUUACUUUGAAAAAAUUAGAGUGCUCAAAGCAGGCUAAAAUGCCUGAAUAUUCGUGCAUGGAAUAAUAGAAUAGGAUGUCGAUCCUAUUUUGUUGGUUUUCGGGACUCGACAUAAUGAUAAAUAGGGACAGUCGGGGGCAUUUGUAUUCAAACGACAGAGGUGAAAUUCUUGGACCGUUUGAAGACAAACUACUGCGAAAGCAUUUGCCAAGAAUGUUUUCAUCG
rnacentral:rRNA from 1 species